CUGGUGAUAGCCCAGCAAUGGAAAAAUCAAUCGGAAAGACCCAUGGCUCUGGUUUAAUGCUGUGUGGGAUGUGGCCUUAGCAGAAUGACUUAGCUAUCAUAGAAGAGUUAUACAAGGAACUUCCAGAAGAGACAAGUUUGACACGAUGAUUAGGUGAUGAAUUUUGGAGGCAGUUGGAUAUUCAGUCAUGAAGAUUUCCGAACUUUGAGGAAUUGCCACUCUAGUUUAUUUAGAAAAAGAACUCUUUUGUUUUCCUAGAAUUGGGGAAGAAGUGAAGACAACAGUAUAACUGAACUACUCAUAACUUACUUGAAGCCAGGUCUUAGACCAGCACGCACACAAUGACUUGGAGCUGAAGAUGUGAUCUGACAACAGGCUUUGCAUUUGGAGAGAUACAAGGCUUUUCUCCCAAGUGAUUUGUAGAAGGUUUUGACCUUUGUCAGUUUUAUUGUUGUCUUCAUUUAUCUACUGCCACAGGUAAAGAGAAUGUAAAUAAAAAAUGAUGUAUCCUUCAAAUAUUUAGAUACAUCUGGAGACAAAAAUACCAGGAAAGAAACAUUUCUUAAACUUUUUGGUGUCUAUAAUAAAUGCUUUAAGACUCUGUCAUGCAUAUAUAUAUUGGUUUCCAAACCAUGGUUACAGGGCUAGAGGAUAGCCUGCACAAUCCAUUAUUUCCAUCUCCUCUGGAUAAUCUUUUGGGAAGUGCAGCAGCUCAGAGUGUUGGAGAAGUCUCCUGAAAAAUGUGGGCUGUGUUGUGUUGAGUGGUAGUGGGGAGGGAAAAAAUACCUGAAAUUUGGCUGAGGAACCUUGCAUGAGCCUGAUUAUAGACACUUCCCUCUUCCCACUAUACAGUCCUGUACAACCACAACCAACAUUUUUCAGUAGGGUCCCUCAGCCGCCUGGAAAGGCUUUUCAGAGGAAAAAAAUAGUUGUGCAAACUGUAUUCUGUUUAUGCAUCUGUUGGAUACAAUUCUUAAUGGGUCUUGAAGAUUUUAAUAAUGCUGUCUAAGAGUUACUAGCCUGACAAUUGACUCCCUUUCUGAAACACUGGAAAAUUGAGUUAUUUGGAAGAAACUGUUCAUAAAUAGCAAGUCUGAGAUAACAGCAUAUCCCAGUACAAUGCAGCCUGAUCAUCAGGCCUGCAAUUCUAUUGAAGAGAACCAUUUUGCAGGCAGAGAAGUUAAUUGAUUUUGAGUGUUCUCCAGAUGGAGA